CCUACGGGAGGCAGCAGUGAGGAAUAUUGGUCAAUGGACGAGAGUCUGAACCAGCCAAGUAGCGUGAAGGAUGACUGCCCUAUGGGUUGUAAACUUCUUUUAUAUGGGAAUAAAACGUUCCACGUGUGGGAUUUUGUAUGUACCAUAUGAAUAAGGAUCGGCUAACUCCGUGCCAGCAGCCGCGGUAAUACGGAGGAUACGAGCGUUAUCCGGAUUUAUUGGGUUUAAAGGGAGCGUAGGUGGAUUGUUAAGUCAGUUGUGAAAGUUUGCGGCUCAACCGUAAAAUUGCAGUUGAAACUGGCAGUCUUGAGUACAGUAGAGGUGGGCGGAAUUCGUGGUGUAGCGGUGAAAUGCUUAGAUAUCACGAAGAACUCCGAUUGCGAAGGCAGUUCACUGGACUGCAACUGACACUGAGGCUCGAAAGUGUGGGUAUCAAACAGGAUUAGAUACCCCAGUAGUC
rnacentral:rRNA from 1 species